AGCACUUUUGUUCACAUGCACCAGGUUCCUUUGAAGCAUGGUCUCCCUAGACUCCCGAGCGAGGGAUAAUAAUGAGAAACACCUGUCAGUGCCGAGAGGUUUUUUUGUUGUUGUUGUUGUUGUUGUUGUUGUUGUUGUUGUUGUCAUUUCCCCCUUCUUGUUGUUGACAGUGCCUGAGCUUCCUAUAGCCCCUCCAUCGCUCGCCCCACCCCGUCCUGAGGUGUCAUACAUGUGUUAGUGGCUGGGGAUACAAUACCAAGUAAGCUGGGCUGAAUAGAAUCAAAGCCACAAGGCCAACGAGGACCCAAGACAUCUAAAAGAACAGAGGAAGUCAUUUAAAAGUCUAAAACAUUGAGUAAAAUAAAAUUAAAGUAAAAUAAAA